rnacentral:lncRNA from 1 species
CAAAUGCCUUCGCAUUAAUCAAGAUGGGAGCUAGAAGAUUAAAAUUUUGUUCUAGAGCUUUGUGUUCUUGGAGAAAACUAACGAUUGUCUUCUAACUUUCGAUUUCUGAGUCAUCUGUGGCUAAAACAUAUAUGCCAUUGUUUGAAGUAAAAAUGCAUGUUACAUCAAUGAGAAGAAGGAGGAAAAAAAAAGAAAAACUCGAGGUUUAGGUCUAUAUUUACAUAUCCAAAUCUAGCAGCCAACAUUUUUGGAUUUCAGG